CCCAAUGUUUAUUUAAGUAAUAAAUUAGUAUAAUGUAAACUUUAGCAUAACCAGAUAAUUUUGCUAUAGCUCUCAUAUAAAAUAAAAUUUCCAGCUCACACAAUAAAGUGAGGGUGAUCAAUCACUGAUAAACCAGCUUGCUUCACUGCAAAGCAUUCAGUAAAAGCUAAAUUAUCAAAGAGGUCUGCUGCUGGGCUUACAAAUAAACUCUUGGAACUAAUCCAAAGCCAAAGAAAGGAAGCCAGAAAUGGUAGCCAAAAAACCUAAACAACAAUAAAAUGAUAAGUAUAACUUUCAUAGAAAAGGUCCUGCUAAAACAACAGAUAGUGUCCACCAGCUUCUAGAAUAAUUUUAAUAAGGUUUCUUUUUUUUUAUGUAACACAUGAAUUUAAGUAUAUAAGAUCUAACACAAAGCCCAAAUAUAAAGUACUACUGACAAGUUGUGAAAGCAUCAAAAUGUCAUAAAUACCUAUUAAGCAACUAAGGAUUGAAACAUAUCUUUGCUUCUGG
rnacentral:lncRNA from 1 species